rnacentral:rRNA from 1 species
GGUUAAUAUUCCCGUACUUGGUGUUACUGCGAAGGGGGGACGGAGAAGGCUAUGUUGGCCGGGCGACGGUUGUCCCGGUUUAAGCGUGUAGGUGUGUGUUCCAGGUAAAUCCGGUUCACUUUAACACUGAGGCGUGACGACGAGGCACUACGGUGCUGAAGCAACAAAUGCCCUGCUUCCAGGAAAAGCCUCUAAGCAUCAGGUAACAUCAAAUCGUACCCCAAACCGACACAGGUGGUCAGGUAGAGAAUACCAAGGCGCUUGAGAGAACUCGGGUGAAGGAACUAGGCAAAAUGGUGCCGUAACUUCGGGAGAAGGCACGCUGACACGUAGGUGAAGUGAUUUACUCAUGGAGCUGAAGUCAGUCGAAGAUACCAGCUGGCUGCAACUGUUUAUUAAAAACACAGCACUGUGCAAACACGAAAGUGGACGUAUACGGUGUGACGCCUGCCCGGUGCCGGAAGGUUAAUUGAUGGGGUCAGCGCAAGCGAAGCUCCUGAUCGAAGCCCCGGUAAACGGCGGCCGUAACUAUAACGGUCCUAAGGUAGCGAAAUUCCUUGUCGGGUAAGUUCCGACCUGCACGAAUGGCGUAAUGAUGGCCAGGCUGUCUCCACCCGAGACUCAGUGAAAUUGAACUCGCUGUGAAGAUGCAGUGUACCCGCGGCAAGACGGAAAGACCCCGUGAACCUUUACUAUAGCUUGACACUGAACAUUGAGCCUUGAUGUGUAGGAUAGGUGGGAGGCUUUGAAGCGUGGACGCCAGUCUGCGUGGAGCCGACCUUGAAAUACCACCCUUUAAUGUUUGAUGUUCUAACGUGGACCCGUGAUCCGGGUUGCGGACAGUGUCUGGUGGGUAGUUUGACUGGGGCGGUCUCCUCCUAAAGAGUAACGGAGGAGCACGAAGGUUGGCUAAUCCUGGUCGGACAUCAGGAGGUUAGUGCAAUGGCAUAAGCCAGCUUGACUGCGAGCGUGACGGCGCGAGCAGGUGCGAAAGCAGGUCAUAGUGAUCCGGUGGUUCUGAAUGGAAGGGCCAUCGCUCAACGGAUAAAAGGUACUCCGGGGAUAACAGGCUGAUACCGCCCAAGAGUUCAUAUCGACGGCGGUGUUUGGCACCUCGAUGUCGGCUCAUCACAUCCUGGGGCUGAAGUAGGUCCCAAGGGUAUGGCUGUUCGCCAUUUAAAGUGGUACGCGAGCUGGGUUUAGAACGUCGUGAGACAGUUCGGUCCCUAUCUGCCGUGGGCGCUGGAGAACUGAGGGGGGCUGCUCCUAGUACGAGAGGACCGGAGUGGACGCAUCACUGGUGUUCGGGUUGUCAUGCCAAUGGCACUGCCCGGUAGCUAAAUGCGGAAGAGAUAAGUGCUGAAAGCAUCUAAGCACGAAACUUGCCCCGAGAUGAGUUCUCCCUGAGACUUAAAGUCUCCUGAAGGAACGUUGAAGACGACGACGUUGAUAGGCCGGGUGUGUAAGCGCAGCGAUGCGUUGAGCUAACCGGUACUAAUGAACCGUGAGGCUUAACCUUACAAC